GCGAAGAUAGCUCAAUGGUUAGAGCAACUGACUGAUAAUCAGAAUGUCGCAGGUUCGACUCCUGCUCUUAACGCUUCA
rnacentral:tRNA from 1 species